AAGACUAUACUUUCUUGGAUCAUUUCUGUAGUGAUUGAUUAGAAAAUGUGAUUUGAACGUGUUACGUCUCCUUAAUCACGAUGAAGAGCUGUGAUGUAUUCUUCUGAGCGUGAAUCAGAUUCAAGCUACUGAUUUCUGUUACAGGCUUGAAUCAUUAAUGAACAUUUUCUGUUUAUUAUGAUGUAUGUGCUGAAGAGUACAUGAUCAGAGUGAU